rnacentral:rRNA from 1 species
GACGAACGCUGGCGGCGUGCUUAACACAUGCAAGUCGAGCGGAAAGGCCCCUUUGGGGGUACUCGAGUGGCGAACGGGUGAGUAACACGUGAGUAACCUGCCCUUGACUUCGGGAUAACUUCAGGAAACUGGGGCUAAUACCGGAUAGGAAUCCUUGCUGCAUGGUGGGGGUUGGAAAGCUUCGGCGGUUUUGGAUGGACUCGCGGCUUAUCAGCUUGUUGGUGGGGUAGUGGCUUACCAAGGCUUUGACGGGUAGCCGGCCUGAGAGGGCGACCGGCCACAUUGGGACUGAGAUACGGCCCAGACUCCUACGGGAGGCAGCAGUGGGGAAUAUUGCACAAUGGGCGGAAGCCUGAUGCAGCAACGCCGCGUGCGGGAUGACGGCCUUCGGGUUGUAAACCGCUUUCAGCAGGGGCGAAGCUUGUGGUGACGGUACCUGCAGAAGAAGCACCGGCUAACUACGUG